rnacentral:rRNA from 1 species
GAACGCUGGCGGCAGGCCUAACACAUGCAAGUCGAGCGGUAACAGAAAGUAGCUUGCUACUUUGCUGACGAGCGGCGGACGGGUGAGUAAUGCUUGGGAACAUGCCUUUAGGUGGGGGACAACAGUUGGAAACGACUGCUAAUACCGCAUGAUGUCUACGGACCAAAGGGGGCUUCGGCUCUCGCCUAAAGAUUGGCCCAAGUGGGAUUAGCUAGUUGGUGAGGUAAUGGCUCACCAAGGCAACGAUCCCUAGCUGGUUUGAGAGGAUGAUCAGCCACACUGGAACUGAGACACGGUCCAGACUCCUACGGGAGGCAGCAGUGGGGAAUAUUGCACAAUGGGCGCAAGCCUGAUGCAGCCAUGCCGCGUGUGUGAAGAAGGCCUUCGGGUUGUAAAGCACUUUCAGUAAGGAGGAAAGGUUAGUAGUUAAUACCUGCUAGCUGUGACGUUACUUACAGAAGAAGCACCGGCUAACUCCGUGCCAGCAGCCGCGGUAAUAC